rnacentral:rRNA from 1 species
UACGGAGGGUGCAAGCGUUAUCCGGAUUCACUGGGUUUAAAGGGUGCGUAGGUGGGGAUGUAAGUCAGUGGUGAAAUCUCCGUGCUUAACAUGGAAACUGCCAUUGAUACUAUGUUUCUUGAAUCUUCCGGAGGUCAGCGGAAUAUGUCAUGUAGCGGUGAAAUGCUUAGAUAUGACAUAGAACACCAAUUGCGAAGGCAGCUGACUACAGGGGCAUUGACACUGAGGCACGAAAGCGUGGGGAUCAAACAGG